rnacentral:misc_RNA from 1 species
CUGUUCGAGCGUCAUUUCAACCCUCAAGCUCCUGCUUGGUAUUGGGCGUCACUUUUUGGUGCGCCUUAAAAUCAGUGGCGGUGCAUCUAGCUUCAAGCGUAGUAAUUCUCUCGCUCUGGAGGCCUAGGUGUGGACCUGCCAGCAACACUUUAUUUUCGAAGGUUGACCUCGGAUCAGGUAGGGAUACCCGCUGAACUUAA